rnacentral:lncRNA from 10 species
UUGCCACCCUCCUCUCUGCUCUGUGGCCCUCACUGAGCUUCUCAAGGGUCAAGGACCAGACCUCCUUGAUUUCUGUCAGGGCUGAAUGCAGUGCCCAGGAGGGAUGGAAAGAGAAAAGAGGAACGAAGAGAAGGAGAGAGGAGAGGGUGGGAGGCGGUUCAGUUGCAGCACUGUUGAAGAGCAUAAUACGGAGAAACUUUUGUGAACUUUGGAGAGUGUUCUGCAAAUAUGUGGAAACAUCUAAGAGGACUCAUAAUGUCAACAUGCAUUUCCCCAAUAAGUAAACAAGAGAAAUGACACUGACAAGAACAAGAAAUGAUUAUUUCUUCUGCCAAAGUUGGAAGCGACCAGAUACGGAUGUGCGUAUUUUAAGAUCAUGGUUUGUGCUGUUGGAGUAGGAAUAAGUAAAAGCUCUUUAAUUUGAAUCUGAAAAGAAAAUGAAAAUUCA